GAUUAAGUUAUUAAGGGCGCACGGUGGAUGCCUUGGCACUAGAAGCCAAUGAAGGACGUUACUAACGACGAUAUGCUUUGGGGAGCUGUAAGUAAGCUUUGAUCCAGAGAUUUCCGAAUGGGGAAACCCAGCAUGAGUUAUGUCAUGUUAUCGAUAUGUGAAUACAUAGCAUAUCAGAAGGCACACCCGGAGAACUGAAACAUCUUAGUACCCGGAGGAAGAGAAAGAAAAUUCGAUUCCCUUAGUAGCGGCGAGCGAAACGGGAAGAGCCCAAACCAACAAGCUUGCUUGUUGGGGUUGUAGGACACUCUAUACGGAGUUACAAAGGACGACAUUAGACGAAUCAUCUGGAAAGAUGAAUCAAAGAAGGUAAUAAUCCUGUAGUCGAAAAUGUUGUCUCUCUUGAGUGGAUCCUGAGUACGACGGAGCACGUGAAAUUCCGUCGGAAUCUGGGAGGACCAUCUCCUAAGGCUAAAUACUCUCUAGUGACCGAUAGUGAACCAGUACCGUGAGGGAAAGGUGAAAAGCACCCCGGAAGGGGAGUGAAAUAGAACCUGAAACCGUGUGCUUACAAGUAGUCAGAGCCCGUUAAUGGGUGAUGGCGUGCCUUUUGUAGAAUGAACCGGCGAGUUACGAUUUGAUGCAAGGUUAAGCAGUAAAUGUGGAGCCGUAGCGAAAGCGAGUCUGAAUAGGGCGUUUAGUAUUUGGUCGUAGACCCGAAACCAGGUGAUCUACCCUUGGUCAGGUUGAAGUUCAGGUAACACUGAAUGGAGGACCGAACCGACUUACGUUGAAAAGUGAGCGGAUGAACUGAGGGUAGCGGAGAAAUUUCAAUCGAACCUGGAGAUAGCUGGUUCUCUCCGAAAUAGCUUUAGGGCUAGCCUCAAGUGAUGAUUAUUGGAGGUAGAGCACUGUUUGGACGAGGGGCCCCUCUCGGGUUACCGAAUUCAGACAAACUCCGAAUGCCAAUUAAUUUAACUUGGGAGUCAGAACAUGGGUGAUAAGGUCCGUGUUCGAAAGGGAAACAGCCCAGACCACCAGCUAAGGUCCCAAAAUAUAUGUUAAGUGGAAAAGGAUGUGGCGUUGCCCAGACAACUAGGAUGUUGGCUUAGAAGCAGCCAUCAUUUAAAGAGUGCGUAAUAGCUCACUAGUCGAGUGACACUGCGCCGAAAAUGUACCGGGGCUAAACAUAUUACCGAAGCUGUGGAUUGUCCUUUGGACAAUGGUAGGAGAGCGUUCUAAGGGCGUUGAAGCAUGAUCGUAAGGACAUGUGGAGCGCUUAGAAGUGAGAAUGCCGGUGUGAGUAGCGAAAGACGGGUGAGAAUCCCGUCCACCGAUUGACUAAGGUUUCCAGAGGAAGGCUCGUCCGCUCUGGGUUAGUCGGGUCCUAAGCUGAGGCCGACAGGCGUAGGCGAUGGAUAACAGGUUGAUAUUCCUGUACCACCUAUAAUCGUUUUAAUCGAUGGGGGGACGCAGUAGGAUAGGCGAAGCGUGCGAUUGGAUUGCACGUCUAAGCAGUAAGGCUGAGUAUUAGGCAAAUCCGGUACUCGUUAAGGCUGAGCUGUGAUGGGGAGAAGACAUUGUGUCUUCGAGUCGUUGAUUUCACACUGCCGAGAAAAGCCUCUAGAUAGAAAAUAGGUGCCCGUACCGCAAACCGACACAGGUAGUCAAGAUGAGAAUUCUAAGGUGAGCGAGCGAACUCUCGUUAAGGAACUCGGCAAAAUGACCCCGUAACUUCGGGAGAAGGGGUGCUCUUUAGGGUUAACGCCCAGAAGAGCCGCAGUGAAUAGGCCCAAGCGACUGUUUAUCAAAAACACAGGUCUCUGCUAAACCGUAAGGUGAUGUAUAGGGGCUGACGCCUGCCCGGUGCUGGAAGGUUAAGAGGAGUGGUUAGCUUCUGCGAAGCUACGAAUCGAAGCCCCAGUAAACGGCGGCCGUAACUAUAACGGUCCUAAGGUAGCGAAAUUCCUUGUCGGGUAAGUUCCGACCCGCACGAAAGGCGUAACGAUUUGGGCACUGUCUCAACGAGAGACUCGGUGAAAUCAUAGUACCUGUGAAGAUGCAGGUUACCCGCGACAGGACGGAAAGACCCCGUGGAGCUUUACUGUAGCCUGAUAUUGAAAUUCGGCACAGCUUGUACAGGAUAGGUAGGAGCCUUUGAAACGUGAGCGCUAGCUUACGUGGAGGCGCUGGUGGGAUACUACCCUAGCUGUGUUGGCUUUCUAACCCGCACCACUUAUCGUGGUGGGAGACAGUGUCAGGCGGGCAGUUUGACUGGGGCGGUCGCCUCCUAAAAGGUAACGGAGGCGCUCAAAGGUUCCCUCAGAAUGGUUGGAAAUCAUUCAUAGAGUGUAAAGGCAUAAGGGAGCUUGACUGCGAGACCUACAAGUCGAGCAGGGUCGAAGACGGACUUAGUGAUCCGGUGGUUCCGCAUGGAAGGGCCAUCGCUCAACGGAUAAAAGCUACCCCGGGGAUAACAGGCUUAUCUCCCCCAAGAGUUCACAUCGACGGGGAGGUUUGGCACCUCGAUGUCGGCUCAUCGCAUCCUGGGGCUGUAGUCGGUCCCAAGGGUUGGGCUGUUCGCCCAUUAAAGCGGUACGCGAGCUGGGUUCAGAACGUCGUGAGACAGUUCGGUCCCUAUCCGUCGUGGGCGUAGGAAAUUUGAGAGGAGCUGUCCUUAGUACGAGAGGACCGGGAUGGACAUACCUCUGGUGUACCAGUUGUCGUGCCAACGGCAUAGCUGGGUAGCUAUGUGUGGACGGGAUAAGUGCUGAAAGCAUCUAAGCAUGAAGCCCCCCUCAAGAUGAGAUUUCCCAACUUCGGUUAUAAGAUCCCUCAAAGAUGAUGAGGUUAAUAGGUUCGAGGUGGAAGCAUGGUGACAUGUGGAGCUGACGAAUACUAAUCGAUCGAAGACUUAAUCAA
rnacentral:rRNA from 1 species